GAGCUCCCUCUCCUCCGAGCUCUGGGCUCCUCCUCGGGCGUCACACCCCCCGACCUCUUUUGGCACAAGUGCCCCUAAACCGGCGGGGCGUGGCACCCCGAGGCGGGUAGGGUGUUCCCCUGCGCAGCAACCCCCCCCCCCCAGGGAUUAACGGGGCAUCCCUCCGGCAGGGGCUGGCUCUCUGCAUUCUGAGAUGCGGGCAGCCGCCGAGCACCGCGAGCUUUUCCAGAGGCGAGCAGAUGCUGGAAGUCAGCUUGUGCGCAGCGCGCCGGCCUGAGGCGGCGCCGCGACGAGCCAGGAGACUGGGCAUCAGGCUCCUGCCGCCUUCGCCCCUUCUCUCCUCCGCCUGACCGCCAGCCCGAAGAGCCGAAAGCGACACGGCAGGGCAUCGCGUGCGCUUGGGAGGGCGGACCCGGGGUGCCUGGGGUCUGGUGGGGCUGGGGCCCAGACGCCCAGAAUGCUUGGUCCUCCUGGCCUCCCUGCCUUCGCCUUGGACCGCGCUGGGGCAGGCCGCUCCUGCGCGGCCCUCGGGGUUUGGCCCUGGAAGCUGGAGGGGGGGGGGCGCGCCCCCCGGUACCUGCCUGGGCUCCCUCUCCAAAGCUGCGGCCAGAGCCCGGCGAGUACUCUCUGCAGCUGCAUUCCGUCGCGCGAAGCCAUGACGGGGUGGCAUCCAGGCGCCUGGUGUCCAGCUCGCUUUAGGCCCGUUAGAGACCUCAGAACUGAGGUCAGAUCCUCAGCAUGCUCUGCGUCUGUACCCUGGACGCCCAGGCACCCAUCUCCAGCCUCUACCUUCCUCUUCCAGUUGCUAGGGACCUUCCAGGCCCAGGGACUUCGGAAGCAUCCGAAGAGAUUCGGGUUCCCCAGCUGGAGGCCUGAGGACAGAGCCAGCCCCUGUAACUAGCCACAAUAACGCCCGUGAUGGUGAUUACUAAUUACCAGCUGUGUAACCAGGCUUCAUUUUCUGUGUUCAGAGUCAGACUUCCUUCCGGGUCAUGCUCCCCACCCCCUUAUUUCCAGCCCCGACCUCACCCCACUAACCAGCCCCUCUUACCCACAGCAACAGCUAGCACUCCUUUCCUGCGGUGACAGCUUCUGGGGGUGGGAGGGCAGCGGGCAGGUGGGCGCUCCUGCUCUGGGAAGCCCGUGACCAAAGCUUCCUCCUAGCCCCCCA
ensembl:lncRNA